CUUGUAGCUCAAUUGGAUAGAGCAUCUGACUACGGAUCAGAAGGUUGGGGGUUCGAGUCCCUCCAAG
rnacentral:tRNA from 1 species